CGCAUGGCCACAGGGCAGAGAGAAUGGCCCAGCACCCCAGGCCAUGCCUACGGCUGAGGGCAGCAGACUGAGCCGCCCGCACUCUUGUCCACUGGUGUUGGUGACUUGCAGCAGAAGGCCAGACGACCAAGCUCAACAUGAAUCCAUCACUGAGAAGCACAGAGAAAUGAUAGUGAAUAUAAUGAGACCAACAACUACUUCAAGGCUCAAUGGCAACAAGGAAGCAUUAUGAAGUUCAGCUGUCAAAGAAUGAUUGAAGAAAAAGACCUACUCCAGAAGUCUCUAUAGGGAAUGACUAAGACCAGGAAAUAUGUGAAUGAAGACUACUCAGACCAACAUUUUUUCACCAUAUAUUAUACAAAAGCCAUACUCUGAAGAUGAAUUGGAAACAUUAUGGACGGUGCCAUCUCUUCCACCAGCAGAUUCCUCAAGACAGUCGUCAUUAUACUUGCUGAUGUCUCUUUCCUGUGUAGCAGCAGACACCAUCUGCAGAUAAGAAAUGCUUAACUGAGAAAUGCUCAUGUUGGGAUAUCAUCGAUGAAACUUUAAUUUGUGCGUGGUGACUGUUUCCCUUGCUGCCACUUGACUCAAUCCCAGGAGCCUCAGUAGAGGAAAUAAUAUUGCAGAACAAGCUCAAAAUAGUGGAAAUAUUCAGUGCUCCUAUAAAUAUACACUGCUAAUUUUAAAAAUAUGACAUAUUAAAAAAGAAUUGCAUGAUUUAAAAAAAUCUCAAAGUAUACUUAUAUGAUUAAUACAUAAAUUAUGGACCUCCUCUCUUUCAAAAUAGUCAAAAGUUUUCUACAGUUUUCCCCUAUUAAGCAAUGGAUAUAAAUGCUCUUAAGCAGACAAAUAAAUGAAAAAUACACGUGCUUUCUGGGGGGAACUUCUACCAGUCAGCCCAUACUCUUACACAAAUUGUUACUUUUGUUUAAGAGUCUUUUGAUGAGCUUUUUCUAUUUCAGUACUAUAUUACUAUCUAUAUCAUUUUUUGAAUAACUGCAUAACUAAUUUGUAGAUGAAAUAGAAUUAAAUGUUUUAAAGAUUGCUCAUUUAUAGGCAUUUAUGUAGGUGCUAAAUUUCUGUGAAAUGAACUUCCAUAUACAUAUAUAUAUAAAUAUAUAUUCAACAAUUACGUAUUUGUCCCUUCUAUUAUAAUAAAAUUACCUAGCACUUAAAUUGUUAGAAUGAAGUAUAAUAACACUUCAAAAAAUUUAAAUAAUCAUAAUUCCUUUUAAAUGAGAUUUAGUAGCCUUCUCCUCAAUGGCAAUGACUUAGACUACCAUCUUCAUAAUCCACAUAUAAUGGGUUCUACAAAUAUUUGAGAUAUUUCCUAAUGUGUUAGUCCAAACAAUUGUCUUAAAUUGUAUUUAUUUUAUUUUUUAGUUUGAUCAUUUUCAUGUUUAUUAGCCAUCUGUAUUUUUAAUUUCUUCUUUAUGUCAAAGUUUGAGAGUAUGUGGAGAUUUUAAUCUCUUUUAAAGUUCAUAUUUACACUUGGAGAAAAAUAAGAUUUGGAUUGUCAAACAUUACAUGUUUUUCUCACGUUUGAACUUCGUUUUGUUAUAAGAAUGUGUAUUAUUGUUACAUGUCCAACUAUAACCAUGUUUGCUUUUAUGGCUUCUGAGUUUCAUGUCAUUUUUGAAAAACAAAAAUAUCGUAAGCCCAUAAAGCCCCACUCCUUUGUUAAUCGUAGUUCUUUUGUGUUUUUUAUGUCAAAUUCUUAAGUCAUGAAAAGAAUUUUGUUUUGAAAUCUUAAAGCUGCCAAGUUAUUUGCCAUUACUUAUGAUUAUUUGCCAAUAAGUGCCCAUUUAUCUGUAAGCCAUCUUGCACCUGUGCUGUAUUGUCAUCUGUGAAUGGCUCCAUUUUUGUUCUGUGAAUGUGUGUCUCUUCUGCCUCCUGUCUCACAUGUCUUCGUGUUGGAAGAAAUUACAGUUUAGACUGCAAUUUCAUCAACUUUAAUAAAUUAAUUUGGGGAAACUGUUUUUAAAUAACACUGUCUUCGUAAUGAAGGACAAGAAAUGUCUCUUUUAUUAAACAUCUGAUUACUGUUGAUAUUUUCACCGUGAUGUUGGGUUUUUCUUUUAUUUACUUGUUCAUUUUUAUGUAUCUGAAACUUUUUGUUUUUUGUUUUUAAUUUUAGAUUUUUUUUUUUGGUUUGGGGAGGUUAAGUGGUCAUGUUAGUAUGCAUUAUUUUCAGAAUGGACCCAAAAUUCUUUGCAAAUACUAGUUUUCCUGUUGCCAACUGAUACUGAUUUUGGUUAUUCUGAUAAAAGUCCACAAACUGGUACUUUCAGAGCACUUAAAAUUGUGGAAAUAUUACCCACACUUGAUUUAAAUGAUAUCUAACAGAAAACCCCUUAGUUUGGAUAGCACAUUGCUGCUGGUCAAUGUUUCCAAAAGACCACCUGAAAGAGCUAUGAUCCAGCAACGUUGAGUUUAUUAAACUUACUGCAGCAAGGGAAAACAUCACCUUAACAGGGUUUAGUCAUGAUUGAAAGGCGAGAAAGAAGAACCUUUGGAUCUGGGUUUCUGUGGUUUAGAGUACAGACAUGGUUAUGAAUGGGCACAGUUCAGCAUGCAAUACUGUAAGAUGGAUGAGGAUGUAGUGAGGUUCUAAAUGUGCUUCCUGAUAACCGUUUUCUAAGUGAUCUGUUUGCCUCAACAUGAUAUUAAUAAUGACAGAAGUGUUAUUGCCUAUAUGAGCAAAUAGAAUUUAUUAGUUUAUAGUUUGUCUUGCUAAGCAGGACUUACUAAGUUUGGUAUCAGAUCUUAGUCCCAAAAGGUAAGUUAUUUUUAAUGUGAAUAGUUGUAAGUAUCAGUGGAAGAUUAUAACUUUUAAUUUUGAGAUAAUUGGUGUGUUCUGUUGGAAAAGUCCUCCUCCACUGCUUUUAUUUUUCUAAAGAGUUUGAAUCAAACCCAGGUGAAAGAUGUAAUUGCUGCUUUUUGCCCAAGUACUUAUACUAUUAUUAUUUGAAUUAUUAAUUGCUGUACAAUAUUUCUUUUUCAACAGUUAGAAAUCCUUUUAUUUCAUUGUGAGCAUACUCAUUUUAAUUUUUUAUUUAAUGCUGAGCUAUAAGCAUUUAAAUUUGAUUUGGAUUUUUGAGAGUAUAUAAUUAUAUGAAAUCACUUUUCCAUUGACACUCCUUUCUACUUCCUUUAUACUCUGGCAUCAGCAUUUCUGAUUAUGUUUAAACAACAUAGAGGGUUUUUUUUCAUGUGGUGCUCGAUGGGUUGGCACCAUAUUAGUGAAAUCAGCUGUUGUGCUUUGUUGUUUCAUGUAAAUAAGGCUAUCUAGUUUUGUUCACAUCUUGCCAGUUAUUGUUUGUUUCAUAUCUAGUGUCUUAGGUUUAACAUUUUUUCCUCAUAGACCGUCACAAUGCAUACAGAUUUUCUAUUGCACUGUUUAAACUGUGCCUUUUUAAAUAAGCAAGUAGCAAAAGUGGGCUUCUAGAAUUGCCAGUUUUUCCUCUCUUCCACAAUCUACAGUUUAGCAUAUUUUUUGAGAUUUUAAAUAUGUCCCAAUUUAUAUACAUAUUUUUAUGUAUUUUCCCUGUGUGAUUUUCCUCUUUUAGUAAGAAAUGCUUAAAGACUUAUAAACCGUUCAUUUCCCUUUCUCAGCAGCCAUUGACAUGUUGUAUCUUUUCACUUAAGAUUGGGACCAUGUGGAAUUUUCCCUGGCCUCACUAACAUGCCAACUGGUAUUGGUGUCAUCCCUAUGUGGUCUUGUUCAGGCAACCAUACAAAUGAGAAGGCAUGAAUGCAUUUCCAUAUUGAAUCUGAAAACAAGGACCUCUGACUGUUACAAUAUUUCUGCUCGUUAAGAUGGUCUCACUGUGUAGCUCAGGUGCAGUUUUACAUCCUGAAUCACUGAAUCCAAGGAGGCAGAGGCAAGUGGAUCUCUAGUGGAACUAGAAUCCAAGGAUGUUGGAGGAGUUCUUGCACUGGCACCUUCCCAUCUCUUCCUUCAACUCUUAUGUCUUCAAGAAUUGGUCUACGGAGCUCAGAGCAGGACAAAAGCCUGGAAGCCUGCUCCUACUCUGGAAUGAGAGGGUUAAAUUCCCAGAGGGCUACUCAUUCUACAAGCACAACAAGUUUGACUACCUGAGGGCUCCUUAUUCUUCAGGCAAUAGAGAAUAGAGUCCUGAACAUCAACUCUUAUUCCAGAAGAAGUGAAUAGAAUCCCAGAGGUCUUCUUAUUCUUUGUGCAGAAAUGG